ensembl:lncRNA
GGGGCACAGGCGGUGGGGCCGGAGCUGGAUUAGGAGCUGGACUUGGGGCAGGAGCACUUCCUGGUUCAGGACUUGGAACAGGUGGACCUCUGGGUACUGGACGUGGGGCAGGAGCACUUCCUGGGUCUGGACUUGGGGCAGGAGGACUUCCUGGAUCCGGUUAUGCCGGAGCCAAAGCUCGAAAAUAUGGCCAGCCUGGAGGCACUGGUGGUGCACUUGGGGCUGGUGGAGUACCUGGUGGCGCUGGAGGAUUCCCUGGUGGAGCUGGAGCCUACCCUGGUGGAGCUGGUGGUGUGCCUGGUGGAGCUGGAGCCUACCCUGGUGGAGCUGGUGGUGUGCCUGGUGGAGCUGGAGCCUACCCUGGUGGAGCUGGUGGUGUACCUGGUGGAGCUGGAGGCUAUGCUGGUGCCAAGGCACGUAAAUAUGGCCUUCCUGGGGGUGGUGGAGGACCUGGUGGUGGAUUAGCUGCUGGCCUUGGAGGAGUGCCAGGAGGUGGGCCUGGGUCAGGUGUGAGGCCAGGAGGGGGAUACGGACAUGGUGGUGGAGUGGGCCCAGGAGGAGCUGGACCAGGUGGUUACGGACCAGGAGGAGCUGGACCAGGUGGUUACGGACCAGGAGGAGCUGGACCAGGUGGUUACGGAGCUGGUGGUGGAGUGGGCCCAGGAGGAGCUGGACCAGGUGGUUACGGACCAGGAGGAGCUGUACCAGGUGGUUACGGACCAGGUGGAGUGGGCCCAGGAGGAGCUGGACCAGGUGGUUACGGACCAGGAGGAGUGGGCCCAGGAGGAGCUGGACCAGGUGGUUACGGACCAGGAGGAGCUGUACCAGGUGGUUACGGACCAGGUGGAGUGGGCCCAGGAGGAGCUGGACCAGGUGGUUACGGACCAGGUGG